AACGAACGCUGGCGGCAUGCCUAACACAUGCAAGUCGAACGAGACCUUCGGGUCUAGUGGCGCACGGGUGCGUAACGCGUGGGAACCUGCCCUUAGGUUCGGAAUAACUCCCCGAAAGGGGUGCUAAUACCGGAUAAUGUCUUCGGACCAAAGAUUUAUCGCCUUUGGAUGGGCCCGCGUUGGAUUAGCUAGUUGAUAGGGUAAAAGCCUACCAAGGCGACGAUCCAUAGCUGGUCUGAGAGGAUGAUCAGCCACACUGGGACUGAGACACGGCCCAGACUCCUACGGGAGGCAGCAGUGGGGAAUAUUGGACAAUGGGCGAAAGCCUGAUCCAGCAAUGCCGCGUGAGUGAUGAAGGCCUUAGGGUUGUAAAGCUCUUUUACCCGGGGUGAUAAUGACAGUACCGGGAGAAUAAGCUCCGGCUAACUCCGUG
rnacentral:rRNA from 1 species